CCUUGUGCCAAGCAGCGGCGGUAAUUCCAGCUUCAAGAGCGUAUAUUAAUACUGCUGUAGUUAAAACGCCCGUAGUAUACCUAAGAGUGGGUGUGUAGUAAUUAGUUUUACCAGAGGACGGUUGGCGAGAGUUUAUCACUCUUGUUUGCCUACUUUUGGUAGACUUUAGUCGGGCUGGAUCUUUGGUCCUCGUCUGACAGUUGCUACGUACUUACUUACCACGGUUCAUCCGUGAGGCCCUUGGCUUGCAACUGUAAAUAAAUCGUUGUGCUUAAAGCGGACUAUGAUACUCUGCCAGAGCGAUUUAGCAUGGGACUGCAGAGUAGCUGUAUUUGGGUGAAGGUUGUACUUCGGUAUGGCUGGAGCUUGGUACAGCGCUUGUAAUGGAGCUCAGGGUGAGGCCCCGGGUACCAUGAGGCUAGAGGUGAAAUUCUGAGACCCUCAUGUGACCAACUAAGGCGAAAGCUGUCGUGGGCCACCACAAGCUCGUCUAUCAGGGACGAAAGUUGGGGGAUCGAAGACGAUUAGAUACCGUCGUAGUCCCAACUAUAAACGAUACCAACCGAGUAUUUGGGAAGACACUAUCCCAGCGAUCUUCUCAGAACUCAAGGGAAACCUUAAGUCUUUGGGUUCUGGGGGGAGUAUAGUCGCAAGACCGAAACUUAAAGGAAUUGACGGAAAGGCACCACCAGGAGUGGAGUCUGCGGCUUAAUUCGACUCAACACGGGGAAACUCACCAGGUCAGGACACAAGUUUGAUUGACAGGUUAAUAGCCCUUUCUUGAUUGUGUGGUGGGUAGUGCAUGGCCGUUUCCAGUUCGUGGAGUGAUCUGUCUUGUUAAUUCAGAUAACGAACGAGACCUAAGCCUUUUACUAGCCGUAGGCCUUUUCCUUCGGGGAAGGGUUAGUUUGUCGGAACAGGUUUCGGCCCUGUCCAAAACCUACGAGACUUUUGUCAGCUUCUUUAAGGGACUUCAUUCGUAAACUAGGAUGAGGAAGAUUAGGCCAUAACAGGUCUGUGAUGCCCAG
rnacentral:rRNA from 1 species